ensembl:lncRNA
CACGCACAGACAUGCUAACUGUCCAGAUUAUGGACUGGAAUAAGAGAAAGAUGGAGAACAUGUGUAAAACCUUGUGCACAAUAUUUCGUAAGGUAACCGUCUUCUUUCAGAAAAGCGGCCAAAUUGCAGUAUGAGUGACAAAUGUCACUCUUAAAGUUUAAUUUCCCCCAUCCCUCCUAUUCCUACAGACACAGCAGAAUCUUGAGAGGGAGAGGCAGAGCCUAGAGACCCUCAAAGGAGAGAUGUCUGCAAAUGAUGGGACUGUGGAACAGUGGGUCAGAGAUGUCAAGGACUGGGCUGAACAUGAACCCCCUGCAGCCAGUAAUGAUUCUCUGCUACAAGUGAGAUCAAGAAUUGAGGAGACUUCUCUGGGCCUAAGGCAGCGUAGGGCACGGCUUUAUAGCCAAACAGGUACAAAGUUUGUGAAAGACAUCAAAUGGUUUAACAAUGUUUUUCACAUUUGUUUAUUAGGUUUCUUCAUGUAUCGGAUUGUGUCUUAUCUGAUGUCUCCCAGACAGCAACUCAGGAUGCUCUGUGAUCCGCAACCGCAUGUGGAGGGAACAGAAACCGCUUGAGAUUUAUGUGGCUCAGCAUGAUACAAUGGUCCAACCCCAAGAGCAAAUCGGCCCUGUCAGUAACACAGUACAAGCUGGCUACAUAUUUCCUUGGCAGUUACCCCCCAAUGAUGGUGUGGAUUUCCUUGCCAAAAAAAAGAUUUUUGAUAAGGUCAUGCACAUAAGAAGACUUGAGGAGGAGGUGAUGAUCCUUGCCACAGAAGUAAGGCAACACUGGGAGUUCCUCAAGAGAAGGGAGCAGACAUUGAGUGGUCUAUCCAUCAGCACUGAGGGUAGCCACUGCAGCCUCUCUGAAGAAGGACUUCGAGGUCUUCAGGCAGAGUUCAACAGAAGAAGGUCUCAGCUGCAGUCUCACCUUAUCACUGUGAGAAAUAAAUACUUGCAAGUGGUAAGGGCAGGACUUGAUGGGUCUGCACUGGACCUUGAAGAGGGAGAAGAGCAGUUUGAGGAGCAAGAUGUAGCAAGUGAUGUGGAGAGCUACUCAGAUGAGGAGGACAUGGACAUGCAGGGACUGGACAAUGCAGUUGGGGAAUAGAAUCCACGUUUUGGUUUGCUGGUUCAAUACCAACACCCUGUAUAUCCCACUCGGGGAUCGACCAUAACUCUGUUCACUUGAAUUCUUACUGUAGACCCUGAACGUACUUUAGACCCCAUGACAUGUCUAUGAAGGUUCAUGGUACUUUGACCCUGUUUUGAAGGCUCUUUUCUAAGAAUAGGCAAUAAACUGUUUGUCACAAGAGAAUUACCAAUCAUGUUAACUACGCCUAGCUGGCAGUGAAGUUUAAAGUGCUUGCAUUUUUCGUGAAGGUUCCUCACCAAAGCAUGUCUGUAUGGCUUUAUCUCUUCACAGCUGAGAUUUCUGAACUGAAGAAAGAUUCAUAUUGUUUGAAAUGUUUGCUCUGUUUACGGCACACAAACUUUGUAGCAUAUGCUACAAAGUCCUCAGUUUUAUUGUAUAGGUUCUACAAGGAAGUCAGUGCAUUCAGUGGAUUGUCUGAGUCAUUUGGUUUUGCAAAUGCACUGUGGCAACAAUACAUUAAAGAAUGCCUGAAUACUUGAAAACAAGCACUUGGAACACACAUUUUGACCAGAUGUACAGUAUGUAAUAUGUAUC